CUCAGGAUGAACGCUAGCGGGAGGCUUAACACAUGCAAGUCGAGGGGUAACAGAGGUAGCAAUACUUGCUGACGACCGGCGUACGGGUGAGUAACGCGUAUGCAACCUGCCCUAUACAGGAGGAUAGCCCGAAGAAAUUCGGAUUAAUACUCCAUGCAGCAUAUUUUUCGCAUGAUAAAUAUGUUAAAGAUUUAUCGGUAUAGGAUGGGCAUGCGUCCCAUUAGUUAGUUGGUGAGGUAAUGGCUCACCAAGGCUUCGAUGGGUAUGGGGUCUAAAAGGAUGGUCCCACACACUGGCACUGAGACACGGGCCAGACUCCUACGGGAGGCAGCAGUGAGGAAUAUUGGUCAAUGGGCGAGAGCCUGAACCAGCCAUCCCGCGUGCAGGAUGACAGUCCUAGUGAUUGUAAACUGCUUUUCUAUAAGAUGAAUAAGGACUACGUGUAGUUCGAUGACCGUAUUAUAGGAAUAAGCAUCGGCUAACUCCGUGCCAGCAGCCGCGGUAAUACGGAGGAUGCAAGCGUUAUCCGGAUUUAUUAGGUUUAAAGGGUGCGUAGGUGGGCGUUUAAGUCAGUGGUUAAAGCCAAUAGCUUAACUAUUGUAUGCCAUUGAAACUGGAUGUCUUGAAUAGGGUAGAGGUAGGCGGAAUGUGUUGUGUAGCGGUGAAAUGCUUAGAUAUAACACAGAACACCGAUUGCGAAGGCAGCUUACUAUGCCUUUAUUGACACUGAUGCACGAAAGCGUGGGGAUCAAACAGGAUUAGAUACCCUGGUAGUCCACGCUGUAAACGAUGAUCACUCGUUUUUGGCAAUACAUCGUCAGAGAGUAAGCGAAAGCAUUAAGUGAUCCACCUGGGGAGUACGUUCGCAAGAAUGAAACUCAAAGGAAUAGACGGGGGCCCGCACAAGCGGUGGAGCAUGUGGUUUAAUUCGAUGCAACGCGAAGAACCUUACCCGGUCUUGACAUCCGUAGGAUCCUUCAGAGAUGAGGGAGUGCCUUUCGGGGAACUACGAGACAGGUGCUGCAUGGCUGUCGUCAGCUCGUGUCGUGAGAUGUUGGGUUAAGUCCCGCAACGAGCGCAACCCCCGCAUCCAGUUGCCAUCAUUAGGUUGGGGACUCUGGAUGGACCACUGCGGUAACAACGCAGAGGAAGGUGGGGAGGACGUCAAGCAAUCAUGGUCCUUACGACCGGGGGUACACACGUGCUACAAUGGUAGUUACAGAGGGUUGCGAAGCCGUAAGGUGGAGCUAAUCUCAUAAAAGCUACGCAAGUUCGGAUUGAGGUCUGCAACUCGACCUCAUGAAGCUGGAAUCGCUAGUAAUCGCGCAACAUCAUGGUGCGGUGAAUAAGUUCCCGGGCCUUGUACACACCGCCCG
rnacentral:rRNA from 1 species